UAAUUCCAUAAAACUUAGUAAUCUGAACAUAGCGUCGUAUAUCAAUUGCUUUUUCUUUACAUAUUUUCUCUCUCGUUCCUUCCUUAUCUCUUACCUUCGCUUCCCUUGUUUUGCCUUGUCUUUCCUGUCACCAUGUUCUAUUGUUUCCUCUUUCUUUUUCUUGCCUUUUUUUGCGAUUCCCUUCCAUUCCUGUCCUCUUCCAAUCCCUUCCUUUGCCCUCUUCUUUCCUCCCUCUUUUUUCUUCUCUUUCUUUCCCUUACCUUUUUCGUCAUUUCCUUCCAAUCCGUUUCCUUCCUUGUCUUGUCAUUCCCUUUCAUUUUUUCUUCUUCCAAUCUAUUUAUUUGCCUUUCUCGUCAUUCUAUUCCAUUAUUUUCCCAUUCCACUCCUUUUUAAAUACUAUCUUAGCAGGACUGGGGUUAAAACUAUCUUAUUUUCAUCUUUCCAGGGCCUCGUUGAUGUGUUAGUGAAGAGGCAAGCAUCGUUAUUCGUAAGGUAAUGUUUGGACUGUACCGAAACGCUUCACUCGCGACUCAGAAGCUUCGAAAUCCAAACCCGAACCACUCUGUACCACCGUUGCCAGAUUAUCGUACUCAGAGCAUCGUAUUUAUCUGUUUCUGACCCUCAACUACUGCCAAGAAACACCAAUAAUUAACCAUUUUAACGACAACUAUAUACGAAGACAGUUAUUGGGGUGGAGGAGACAGAUUUUGGGUCGGAAAUCGGAAAACAUAAGAAACUGAGUACGACAAUUUGGCAACGUUGCUUUGGACGUCGAUCUCUCAGUCCACUCCACGACACCAUCCGUUCCGGCACUUCCUCCUCCUGCUCCUCCUCCUCCUCCUGUAUCGUCAGCAACUACUAGAGGAGACGUUGAAGUCUACGAAGUCCUCCUCACGCACCCCAUCCAUCACGACACAGCACCUAAGUCAUCCUGCCACUAUCAAGGAAGCAUGAAGGGCCACACAUCUUCACCUGCCACGUGAACAUAAUCAAGAGGAGCUGUGAAUCUGGCCGGCCUCUGUGUUAUCUGGAGGACCAACACUCGCCAUACACACCAAGACAUCACAGCUGAUAUCCAUGGUGCAUUACAUGGUGAGUAUUGGAAGAUUUCAGUUAUUUACAAAACUCUGAUACAACAUUACAAACACAUGACACCUUCAAUGUAAAAUCCAGAACACAUUUACUAAAGGGGCUAUUACACCGGGCAAAUUUUCCGUGGAUCUUCAGUCAAACCACAAUUUCCGCUGGUGUGGUUUUCUGACGAGUCCACGAUCUUCCAAAGCUACAGUAGAUUUCACCAAAGGAAGACGGUAUUACUCACCAUCAUCAUCAGCAGCAAUAACAAGAAACGAAUGAGAACCAAGAUAGCGGAAAUUGUGGUUUGACUUUAGAAGUUUAGAUCCACGGAAAAUUUGCCCAGUGUAAUAGCCCCUUAACAUAACGCCUUGAAAAUUAAACAAAAAUGGCGGGUUGCACUGCACUCCUCAGAGAUGUAUGUUUGUUUAGACUCCUUGAUUCCCCUUAACCUCUCCUCCCCACUGCCCAUUUGCAUCCCCUUUCCCCUGUACCCUAUCCCAACCCUCACCCUCACUUGCCCACCCUCCCUUCACCACACACCUAACACUCCAGUCUAGCACAGUGUUUCCUACCCUCCAACAUAACCUUUCAAUGCCCUAGUUCACUGGUAUACCCUACACCCAAACCUAAUCCUCACCCUCUUGACACCCUACAGUUUACACACCAAACACUCCAGUCUUGUACAGCACUUCUUAGGCCCCGUUCACGCUGUGCCGACUCUGGGCCACGACAACCCA